GGUAACUUAUUCUACUAAUCAAUAAUAAUGGAUCUAAGAAUCAUAAAUAAAUGUAUAAUAAAUAAUAAAAGUUAAAUAUAUAUCUUUUGUCGCCCCAACAAAAAAGUCUAAUCAACAGCAGUAAAAAUGAAACACAACAGCCAUUAAAAUUGACCAUUAAAGCUCUAUAGGGUCUUCUCGUCUUCCAAAAGAAUUUGAGCCUUUUAACUCAAAAGCUAAAUUUUAACUUAUUUAAUUGAGACAGUUAGCGCCUCGUCAAGCCCUUCAUUCCAGCCCCCUAUUAAAAGACUAAUGAUUAUGCUACCUUUGCACGGUCAAAAUACCGCGGCCGUUAAAUAAUUAUCACCGGGCAGGCUUGACCUCAUAUAAUAAAACAAGAGGAC
rnacentral:rRNA from 1 species